GAAAGAGGGAGCUGCUUCCGGGAGAGCCGCCCCGCCCCCACGUGGGCCCCGGGAGACCAGAGCGCGCGACAGCGGUGGCGGGAGCGGCGUCCCGAAUUCCUUAGGGAGGCAGAGCUGAGCACGCGGCAGACCCCCCAGGAGCCCUCCAUUCCAACCAGCCAGCUGCCCUGUGCCUUCCCUGCCCACCAUGCAGCCCCAGUCGGUCCUGCACAGCGGCUACUUCCACCCACUGCUUCGGACCUGGCAGACAGCUGCUGCCCGCCUCAGUGCCUCCAACCUCAUCUACCCCAUCUUUGUUACGGACGUACCUGAUGACAAACAGCCUAUCGCCAGCCUCCCAGGAGUGGCCAGGUACGGUGUGAACCGACUGGAAGAGAUGCUGAAGCCCCUGGUGGAGGAGGGCCUGCGCUGCGUCCUGAUCUUUGGGGUCCCCAGCAGAGUUCCCAAGGAUGAGCGGGGCUCUGCGGCCGACUCUGAGGACUCCCCGGCUAUCGAGGCUAUCCGUCUGUUGCGCAAGAACUUCCCUGGCCUCCUGGUGGCCUGCGACGUGUGUCUGUGCCCCUACACCUCCCACGGUCACUGCGGGCUUCUGAAUGAGAAUGGGUCAUUCCAAGCUGAGGAGAGCCGCCAGCGGCUGGCAGAGGUGGCACUGGCCUAUGCCAAGGCAGGAUGUCAGGUGGUGGCCCCUUCGGACAUGAUGGACGGACGCGUGGAAGCCAUCAAGGAGGCUCUGAUGGCUCAUGGAUUCGGCAACAGGGUAUCCGUGAUGAGCUAUAGUGCCAAGUUUGCUUCCUGUUUCUAUGGACCUUUCCGGGACGCGGCUCAGUCGAGCCCAGCUUUUGGAGAUCGCCGCUGCUACCAGCUGCCGCCCGGAGCACGAGGCCUGGCCCUGCGCGCGGUGGACCGGGAUGUACGGGAGGGAGCUGACGUGCUCAUGGUGAAGCCAGGAAUGCCCUACCUGGACAUUGUGCGGGAGGUAAAGAACAAGCACCCUGAGCUCCCUCUCGCUGUGUACCACGUUUCUGGAGAGUUUGCCAUGCUGUGGCACGGAGCCCAGGCCGGGGCAUUUGAUCUCAAGGCUGCCGUGCUGGAGGUCAUGACCGCCUUCCGCAGAGCAGGUGCCGACAUCAUCAUCACCUACUACACGCCUCAGCUACUGCAGUGGCUGAAGGAGUGAUGGAGAAAGUGUGCAAGACCCAAGAACCAGAACUUUUUCAUUCCUGAGCCUCGGAAAAGCAAAACCAAAGACCUUCUGCUGUGAAAACGUUACCCGAGUGUCAGCAGAUCUGACCCACUAAGCCCGGAGAGAGAAGACCACCAGGUUGUUGGGGGGCAGUCUUGUCCAGCUCAACCUCCCCUUGGCCCCUGGGACCUGAGGCAGAGGC